GGGAUCGAUCUAGGGCAGGGGAAAACAAGGGUUUUCCUUGUUCUUGCAAAAAUUCACCAAUUGACAAGGAGAAAUCAAGAAUUAAUUACUGCAUGUUCUAAAGUUUCAGUCAUCUAAGAAUAUCUAGUGGAAUGGUGUGAAGGAAGAAGGUUCGAAUUCUAAGAAAUCGGAAGGACCACAAGACCGAGGUAAAUCCUCAACUUAGGCGAUUGGACGGCUUGGAACGUGCACACUUGAUUCAUGCUUGCCUCACGCUUCCGUUACAAGUUAAUUAGAUAUGGGUUAAAGUUUUGGUUAAAUGUACUUAAACUUAUGUAGUAAGUCGAUGUCCUUGUUGUAGGGUUAGAACUUAGUAAUUGUAGUCUUGUCGUGUUGAAUAUAAACCUUGUCCGUCUUUGAUUUUGUCGAAAAAUAUUAAAUGAUGGUGUUGUUUGAGUAAAACAGGUAAUAGUGGUUUAGUACGAA